GUUAAUGUAGCUUAAACAAAGCAAAGCACUGAAAAUGCUUAGAUGGAUGCAAGCAUCCCAUAAACAA
rnacentral:tRNA from 1 species